GCCAGACUCCUACGGGAGGCAGCAGUGGGGAAUAUUGCACAAUGGGGGAAACCCUGAUGCAGCGACGCCGCGUGAGUGAAGAAGUAUCUCGGUACGUAAAGCUCUCUCAGCAGGGAAGAAAAUGACGGUACCUGACUAAGAAGCCCCGGCUAACUACGUGCCAGCAGCCGCGGUAAUACGUAGGGGGCAAGCGUUAUCCGGAUUUACUGGGUGUAAAGGGAGCGUAGACGGUGCAGCAAGUCUGAUGUGAAAGGUCAGGGCCCAACCCCGGGACUGCAUUGGAAACUGUUGAACUGGAGUACAGGAGAGGUAAGCGGAAUUCCUAGUGUAGCGGUGAAAUGCGUAGAUAUUGGGAGGAACACCAGUGGCGAAGGCGGCUUACUGGACUGUAACUGACGUUGAGGCUCGAAAGCGUGGGGAGCAAACAGGAUUAGAUACCCCAGUA
rnacentral:rRNA from 1 species